AACGUAGGUUCCGAGCGUUAUCCGGAUUUACUGGGCGUAAAGCGCGUUCAGGCGGUUUGGCAAGUCGGGCAUGAAAUCUCUCGGCUCAACCGGGAGAGGUUGUCCGAUACUGCUGGACUUGAGGGCAGUAGAGGGUGGUGGAAUUCCGGGUGUAGUGGUGAAAUGCGUAGAUAUCGGGAGGAACACCAGUGGCGAAGGCGACUACCUGGCCUGUUCUUGACGCUGAGGCGCGAAAGCUAGGGGAGCAAACGGG
rnacentral:rRNA from 1 species